rnacentral:rRNA from 1 species
UACCAGUGGCGAAGGCGACUUUCUGGCCUUAAACUGACGCUGAGGAACGAAAGCGUGGGUAGCAAACAGGAUUAGAUACCCUGGUAGUCCACGCCGUAAACGAUGAGUGCUAGGUGUCGGGAGUCAAAUCUCGGUGCCGUCGCAAACGCAAUAAGCACUCCGCCUGGGGAGUACGUGCGCAAGCAU